GAUGAACGCUGGCGGCGUGCCUAAAACAUGCAAGUCGUGCGGCAGCGGGCCUUCGGGUGCCGGCGAGCGGCGGACGGGUGAGUAACGCGUAGGAACGUACCCCAAAGUGAGGGAUAAGCUCCGGAAACGGAGUCUAAUACCGCAUAUGCUCUUAGGAGUAAAGGAGUAAUCCGCUUUGGGAGCGGCCUGCGUCCGAUUAGUUUGUUGGUGAGGUAAUGGCUUACCAAGACGAUGAUCGGUAGCUGGUUUGAGAGGAUGAUCAGCCACACUGGGACUGGGACACGGCCCAGACUCCUACGGGAGGCAGCAGUUAGGAAUUUUCCACAAUGGGGGCAACCCUGAUGGAGCAACGCCGCGUGCAGGAAGACGGCCUUCGGGUUGUAAACUGCUUUUAAAAGUGAAGAUUAUGACGGCAACUUUAGAAUAAGGAUCGGCUAACUCCGUGCCAGCCGCCGCAGUAA
rnacentral:rRNA from 1 species